GCGGUCACGUGGUGUCAACAUGAGUUCUGUGGCGGCGUGUGUGUUCAUUUUGAACUACGGGGUUCUAGGCUUUCAGGCGCGCUUUGUUGUAGGUGGGCAACUAUUUAUCUGAGCAAGUGAUGUCUAGUGGACCCGAGAUUGUGUACUUGCUGUGAUACGUUAACCUCCUUCCCAGCCUGAACAUCACCUGCACGACGAGGUACUUCUCUACUGCGACACGUGUCAGUUACCAGCAGAUGGAAAUCAAUAAAAUUUAUUGUAAAACAAACUUUAUUUUGUUGAAAGGGAAACAAAGCAUUGCUUUAAAUGAGUGCUAAUUGUUUAAGUGAUGACUAC